rnacentral:snRNA from 14 species
GGAUGUGAGGGCAAUCUGGCUGCGACAUCUGUCACCCCAUUGAUUGCCAGAGUUGAUUCGGCUGAUCUGGCUGGCUAAGCAGGUGUCCGCUUCCUCCCUCACCACUCCAUGUGUGUCCCUCCCAAGGAUGUGCACUCGGUUGAAGAAGACGACCUUCCCUGGUACAGGCGGUACCGUUCAUUGCUCAUGGGUAUACGGUUGCUGUGCUCCACUGCUAGGACCUCCAGACAAGCUCAAGGUCAACUUGUAGGAGACCGUAGGGUAGUCAAGCUUCCAAGGCUGCAGACACACCCAAGUGAGGCACUACAUGUGGCAGUCUGCCAUUUUAU